UAGGGAAUCUUGCGCAAUGGGGGAAACCCUGACGCAGCGACGCCGCGUGAGCGAAGAAGGCCUUCGGGUUGUAAAGCUCUGUGGGGAGGGAAGAAUAAGGGCGGGUUAAUACCCCGUCUGAUGACGGUACCUCUUUAGCAAGCACCGGCUAACUCUGUGCCAGCAGCCGCGGUAAGACAGAGGGUGCAAACGUUGUUCGGAAUUACUGGGCGUAAAGCGAGUGUAGGCGGCCAUGCAAGUCGGGUGUGAAAUCCCGGGGCUCAACCCCGGACGUGCAUUCGAAACUGCGUGGCUAGAGUCCCGGAGAGGAAGGCGGAAUGCUUGGUGUAGAGGUGAAAUUCGUAGAUAUCAAGCAGAACACCUGUGGCGAAGGCGGCCUUCUGGACGGUGACUGACGCUGAGACUCGAAAGCGUGGGGAGCAAACAGG
rnacentral:rRNA from 1 species